CUACAAUGAAUUGGUUUUCAAUCAUUUUUGUGAUAACGUUCCACACGGCCAUCGUAAUUGCCGUCGAAAGUGUCAUUAAAUACGAUCCGGAUCCAAAGCUUUUUGUUGAAACAAUUCAAGCAAGUGUAUGGAUUAAGGUGAUGAUCCAAUGCAUAUCGAGAGAAGCAAAUAUUGAACAGAUUUAUAUUCAUUCUAAAGCGGAGAACUUAAUUCGUGUAAACGAUGUCAUACUUGGUUUCCGUUCAACAACACCUGCAAGAGGGAGACCAGCGAAUUAUAGCAUAGGCGAUACAGUUUGGUGCAUCAUAAAUGUAAUUCUUCCCAAAAACUACGAUGAAAAUACUUAUGUUCGUAUUCCAAAGUUUGAACCCCGAAUAGAAGAUAGGAGGCAUCUGAGAAGGAAUAAUCCAAUUUUUGGCCAAAA